UUUUUUUUACCUUAUUUUUUUUAUCUCUCUCUUUCUCUCUUCGAGUUCUUCUCCUCUCCCAUUUUUUCUUUCUCAUUUAACCCUGGAAGGAGAUCUGCGAAAUCAAAAUCCAAGCUUGCAGAAAUCAAACCUCAACUUUUAGAAAUCAAACCAUUUAUCCUGAACCUAAAUCUCAUAAAUCAAAACUCAUCUUUCGGAAAUCAAACCUAAAUCUUACAAUAACUCACCCAAUCCCUAGAAAUUGUUUUCUUCUCUAAAUUCAAUGAUUCUGUAAGGAGUGGUUGGUUUCAACCUAAAAUUUCUUUCUCUAGUGACGAACUAACGGAUCCUGCAUGUUUGAUGGUCAUGUGGUGUUGAUGGUUUUGCUGGUGAAAGUGGUAUGUCUUGUUGAUGGUGGAUGCAGGUGCUAGUAGUGUGGUUAGUGCUACAGAUUUUUGGAUUUAGUUGGUGGUGGUGCCUCAUUUUCUUGGUGUUUGUGAAAAAUCCCUGGAUCUUCUAUGAGAAUGGGUGGUGGUGGUGAUGCAGGUAAUAGUUUGAGAUUUGUCAGUUGUUGGUAGAGAUUUGUCAGUCAUAGGUUUGUUUUUAUAGUGGGUAGAGAUGUUGGUAGCGGUUGGGUACAAGUGGAUGAUACUUCUUAGCUUGUUGUAGUUGUUAGUGAUGGUUUGGUGUUGAAGCUGGUGGUUCUACGGAUGUUGGCAUGUGGGUGUCUAUAGGUGUUUUUGGUGGUAGAUUCAGAUAUGGUGGCUAACCGAGCUUGUUGGUGGUGUUGCUGCAGUCAUCAACUUAUUCACUUUCCUUUACAUCACCCCUCAUUGUAAAGUAUUGUUAUCUCUAAUGCUCUUAAAGUAAGACCUUGUUCCUGGUUUUCAUUCGAUCGUAGAAUUUUAUUUGAUGUGUUACAGAUUUGUAUGUAAAUUGUUUUUCUGUUGGUAAUUUAGGGUUUUGAGCCUUCAACCUGUACACAAGUAUCUCUUGUUGGUAACUAGCCAUCUUAUUUGAUGACUUUCCACCUAUUUCUGUUAACUCCUGUAAGACGACUUACCGGUAUGUAAAAUGUUUAUGCAGGGCUUACUGUAGAUUUCAGGUGGCAGAAGUAAAGAGGUUACUUCUUGGAUGUCUAACACAUCUCCAGGAAUUCUAGAAUCAUGCGCUUCAACUUAUCUCUUUCUUGCUCAUGCUAAUGUAAAACUAUGCCUAAGAAGGCAUAAAACAGGUCGUUUAUGAAGCUGGUGUUGUAUGAAUGGAUUGGUUUGUUAUAUCCUCCCUGUAUUCAGUUGAUCCCAGUAGAAUAUUGCCGAGGCUGAGAAAUUUUGUUUACUUGAUCCUAGUGGUAUUAUUCAUGCAUUGUAAAUGAAUAAGUUUUGCAUGCCCUCUCUUAUAGAUGCAGGAUGAAGCAAGUUGACAACUAUCCUUGUCUAGUAUAGUGAAUUAAUGCUGCGUAUGCACUCAUUUAUACUAAGUUGUUUUUUAGAAGCUAUUGGAAACUCAUAGGACUGUUGUUUCCAUUGUCAUAGACAUAGUCAUGGUUUAACCGUCAUGAAAGUAUUCUUCUGUUCUAAUUGUUAACGUAUCACUCAGCCUGUUAGUUUUUUAUUUUCAUAGUCUCACCAAUGUGGAUUUUAUUUUCUUAGUUUUCAUCCGUGUAUUAACUUUACUGUCUUUUUCUCAAUGACAGGUGAUGACUUAUGACUUAUGGAAACUGGAUAUACACGGGUUCUGAAGAUGGCACAAGUCAUGGAAAAGGUGUUUGCUUUGUUGCUUGAGAAGUUACGAAAGUCAUAGACACUGGACUCAGAUCCAUCUACUUCUUAAUCUUACAUCAGUUGGUUAUUAAAAACACUGCAAACCAGAUACAUAUUUGAGUUGCAGCUCAAAGGAAUACCUUUCGUCCAUGAUUUGCAGUUCUUGGCAUUAUAGGUUGCAGAUGGAGAAUAGCAAUGUAUCCUAUAAGAUUUAGAAGUUCAGGACCACAUAUGAAGGAAUUAUUAUGCAUUUGUCAAUUUUAAGUGGUAACUCCUGAAGUACUUGCAAUUUGAACCUGAUGCUGGAGGGUAUCAACAGAACUCCAUUUGGGGAAAGAUUUGUAACAUCAAAUCUACAUAAGGUGCUCACUGGGUGAUGUUACAAAAACUGAUGGUCAUUAUGAGAAGAUGUUGGAAGUUUUGAAUAACAAGUCAGCCCGAUCCAGUUCCACUUGGAGUAGGUUUAUAGUCAUUUUCUUAUUUUCUGGAAUGAACAUUAUCGAAUUCAUUGCCUCUUCGUAUGUUGGGAAAUACUAUGUUCCUCAGGGAAAUACCAGAUAACAACUUGAGAGGGAAACUACCUCUUUCUAUAAAGUUUGCUGGUAACACUCAAUCUCGUGCAACAUGACCUUUCUCUGGUAAAGGUUGAGGGUUGUUGUUAUUCUUUUGUUUUGGCAUAAGGAUGACAACAUGAUGAUAUUUUGAU